UGGGGAAUAUUGCACAAUGGGCGCAAGCCUGAUGCAGCCAUGCCGCGUGUAUGAAGAAGGCCUUCGGGUUGUAAAGUACUUCCAGCGGGGAGGAAGGGAGUAAAGUUAAUACCUUUACUCAUUGACGUUACCCGCAGAAGAAGCACCGGCUAACUCCGUGCCAGCAGCCGCGGUAAUACGGCGGGUGCAAGCAUUAAUCGGAAUUACUGGGCGUAAAGCGCACGCCGGCGGUUUGUUAAGUCAGAUGUGAAAUCCCCGGGCUCAACCUGGGAACUGCAUCUGAUACGGGCAAGCUUGAGUCUCGUGGAGGGGGGUAGAAUUCCAGGUGUAGCGGUGAAAUGCGUAGAGAUCUGGAGGAAAACCGGUGGCGAAGGCGGCCCCCUGGACGAAGACUGAAGCUCAGGUGCGAAAGCGUGGGGAGCAAACAGG
rnacentral:rRNA from 1 species